GACGAACGCUGGCGGCGUGCUUAACACAUGCAAGUCGAACGAUGAAGCUAGAGCUUGCUCUGGUGAAUUAGUGGCGAACGGGUGAGUAACACGUGAGUAACCUGCCCCGAACUCUGGCAUAACUGCUGGAAACGGUAGCUAAUACUGGAUACGACCUACGAAGGCAUCUUCUGUAGGUGGAAAGAAUUUCGGUUCGGGAUGGACUCGCGGCCUAUCAGCUUGUUGGUGAGGUAAUGGCUCACCAAGGCGACGACGGGUAGCCGGCCUGAGAGGGUGACCGGCCACACUGGGACUGAGACACGGCCCAGACUCCUACGGGAGGCAGCAGUGGGGAAUAUUGCACAAUGGGCGCAAGCCUGAUGCAGCAACGCCGCGUGAGAGAUGACGGCCUUCGGGUUGUAAACCUCUUUUAGUAGGGAAGAAGCGAAAGUGACGGUACCUGCAGAAAAAGCACCGGCUAACUACGUGCCAGCAGCCGCCUAA
rnacentral:rRNA from 1 species